UACGUAGGGGGCAAGCGUUGUCCGGAUUUAUUGGGCGUAAAGAGCGUGUAGGCGGUUUGGUAGGUCCGUUGUGAAAACUCGAGGCUCAACCUCGAGACGCCGAUGGAAACCAUCAGACUAGAGUCCGGAAGAGGAGAGUGGAAUUCCUGGUGUAGCGGUGAAAUGCGCAGAUAUCAGGAAGAACACCCGUGGCGAAGGCGGGUCCCUGGGCCGAUAUUGACGCUGAGGUGCGAAAGCGUGGGGAGCAAACAGG
rnacentral:rRNA from 1 species